rnacentral:rRNA from 1 species
GAUGAACGCUGGCGGCGUGCCUAAUACAUGCAAGUCGAGCGAACAGACGAGGAGCUUGCUCCUCUGACGUUAGCGGCGGACGGGUGAGUAAAACGUGGAUAACCUACCUAUAAGACUGGGAUAACUUCGGGAAGCCGGAGCUAAUACCGGAUAAUAUAUUGAACCGCAUGGUUCAAUAGUGAAAGACGGUUUUGCUUUCACUUAUAGAUGGAUCCGCGCCGCAUUAGCUAGUUGGUAAGGUAACGGCUUACCAAGGCGACGAUGCGUAGCCGACCUGAGAGGGUGAUCGGCCACACUGGAACUGAGACACGGUCCAGACUCCUACGGGAGGCAGCAGUAGGGAAUCUUCCGCAAUGGGCGAAAGCCUGACGGAGCAACGCCGCGUGAGUGAUGAAGGUCUUCGGAUCGUAAAACUCUGUUAUUAGGGAAGAACAAAUGUGUAAGUAACUAUGCACGUCUUGACGGUACCUAAUCAGAAAGCCACGGCUAACUACGUG